rnacentral:rRNA from 1 species
UACAGAGGUCUCAAGCGUUGUGCGGAUUCAUUGGGCGUAAAGGGUGCGUAGGCGGUGCGGUAAGUCGGGGGUGAAAUCUCGGGGCUUAACUCCGAAACUGCAUUCGAUACUGCCGUGCUUGAGGACUGGAGAGGAGACUGGAAUUUACGGUGUAGCGGUGAAAUGCGUAGAUAUCGUAAGGAAGACCAGUGGCGAAGGCGGGUCUCUGGACAGUUCCUGACGCUGAGGCACGAAGGUCAGGGGAGCAAACGGG